AUUCAGCUGACGAGUCUCAAAUAGGACGAAUUGGCGCGUGUCCUGAAU
rnacentral:hammerhead_ribozyme from 1 species